AGCGUGCGUAGGCGGUUUAUUAAGUCAGAUGUGAAAGCCCCGGGCUUAACCUGGGAACUGCAUUUGAAACUGGUCAACUAGAGUAUGGUAGAGGAAAGUGGAAUUUCUGGUGUAGCGGUGAAAUGCGUAGAUAUCAGAAGGAACAUCAAUGGCGAAGGCAGCUUUCUGGACCAAUACUGACGCUGAGGUACGAAAGCGUGGGUAGCAAACAGGAUUAGAUACCCUGGUAGUCCACGCCGUAAACGAUGAUAACUAGCCGUUGGGGGGACUUACCCUUUAGUGGCGAAGCUAACGCGUUAAGUUAUCCGCCUGGGGAGUACGGCCGCAAGGCUAAAACUCAAAGGAAUUGACGGGGACCCGCACAAGCGGUGGAGCAUGUGGUUUAAUUCGAUGCAACGCGAAGAACCUUACCUGGUCCUGACAUCCUGCGAACUUUCUAGAAAUAGAUUGGUGCCUUCGGGAACGCAGUGACAGGUGCUGCAUGGCUGUCGUCAGCUCGUGUCGUGAGAUGUUGGGUUAAGUCCCGUAACGAGCGCAACCCCUAUCCUUAUUUGCCAGCACAUUAUGGUGGGAACUAUAAGGAGACUGCCGGUGAUAAACCGGAGGAAGGCGGGGACGACGUCAAGUCAUCAUGGCCCUUAUGGGUAGGGCUUCACACGUCAUACAAUGGUACAUACAGAGGGCCGCCAACCCGCGAGGGGGAGCUAAUCCCAGAAAGUGUAUCGUAGUCCGGAUUGGAGUCUGCAACUCGACUCCAUGAAGUUGGAAUCGCUAGUAAUCGCGGAUCAGCAUGUCGCGGUGAAUACGUUCCCGGG
rnacentral:rRNA from 1 species